AAAAAUUUAGUUAAUUUAUAACAUCAAUUUGUCAAAUUGAAAUAAUCAUAAGAUAGUUUUUU
rnacentral:tRNA from 2 species